GUCUCGGUGGUGUAGUGGUCAAAGCGCUCGACUGGUAAUCAGGAGGGCGUGGGUUCAAUUCCAGCCGAGGUA
rfam:Asian citrus Psyllid, Diaphorina citri - Florida Strain, whole genome shotgun sequence.